CAGUGCUUCAUGCAGUAUCUUUCGCAAACUCGAGCAGGCUUGAACGUACUGUUCGUUACCAUUUUUAGGCUAUCGUGGUUAGUAGCAGGACGUGUUGCUCGCGUUUUUUAGAAUUAAUAAACCGAGUUCAUUUUUGCGCAGAAUCAGCUUUAUUUCAUUGCAAAUAAUCAGCUUGUAAUAGUUAUAUUCAUACAGAUUUGUUUUUGAAGUGUAUUAUAAUAUUAAAUUAUAAAUACUCUGGAUGCCAUGUGCUAUUGGACAUUGGAUCAAAUCAACCAUUUUUCACUUUAGGAUGUAGCAGUACUUAAAGGAAGCAUAAAGGUUAACUGACAAAUAAGAGAGAAUGAAGACAUUGAAGUUAAUUUUCAUCCUACUGGAAAAGCAUAAUUCGUCUACUAUAUGGUACUGUGUUUGCUGUUGACUUUUCACCUUGGAUGAUUUUAUAGUUAUUUAAGAAACACUGAGGAUACCAUGUGCUGUGGGAGAUUUGGCUAAAUCAACCCUAUUUCACUCAAGGAUGUAGCAUUACCUGAAAGAGGCACAAAGGUGCCAUUCCUCGUCACCUGUUUCCAAUCAAUAACUUAGGAACACUCUAGAUGUCAUGUGAUAUAGAUUUAAUUAUAUAAGUCCUUCUUCACUCCAAGAUGUGUUAAUACCUGAAAACCACUUUUUCGAUCGGAAAUUGGCGCUGUGUGUUGCAGUUACUGGAGGAAGGAUUUAUGAUGCUGAACAACAUCAAGUAAAGGAACACUCUAGAUGCUAGGUGAUACAGAGAUUUAAUUAUAUAAGUCCUUCUUCACUCCAAGAUGUGUUAAUACCUGAAAACCACUUUUUCGAUCGGAAAUUGACGCAGUGUGUUGCAGUUACUGGAGGAAGCAUUUAUGAUGCUGAACAACAUCAA